UAAAAACAUAAAUUAAUUCAUAAAUUUUUUUAUCAGCAGACCACAAUGAGGAACCUGCUCCAGCAGUCGCUACAGAUCCCACAAAACUAUGAAUAUCAGUAUCUUGUCCAUAAUUUACAACUGUGACUGCUUUAAUCAGUUCAUCAAUAACCACUGGAGAAUAUCCUAAAUCCUUGAGGUAGUCUUUUGUAGAAACCUGCAGCAUCUGAGGAAAUUCAUUGUUCAUAGCAGAUAAUAAACUUGAUACAUUAUUAAAACCAACACCAUUGUCAUGUAGAAGGUAUAUUUUUCCAAAAUCAUCAACUAUUGAAUCAAUUAGUCUAACAAAAAAAGGAACUGAUAGAAAAUAAAUCUAAUAAUUUUUA